rnacentral:rRNA from 1 species
UACGUAGGUGACCAGCGUUGUCCGGAUUUACUGGGCGUAAAGAGCGCGCAGGCGGUCGUUCAAGUCGAGUGUGAAAGCCCCCGGCUCAACUGGGGAGGGUCAUUCGAUACUGAUCGACUCGAAGGCAGGAGAGGGAAGCGGAAUUCCCGGUGUAGUGGUGAAAUGCGUAGAUAUUAGGAGGAACACCAGUGGCGAAGGCGGCUUUCUGGACUGUAACUGACGUUGAGGCACGAAAGCGUGGGGAGCGAACAGG